GGCGCUAUAGCUAAGUGGUUAAAGCGACAGAUUAGAAUAGUCAGCUAACUUCGCAUCUACAAUCUGUUCCUCUUUGAGGGCGCAGGUUCAAAUCCUGCUGGCGUCG